UUUUAAUUCAGACUGUUGAAAACUCUUUGUCUUUUUUUGGGGAAAAGUUCCCUUUGACCUGAACAAAGCCUUCAUUGUGAAUCCCUUGAACACUGGAUCUGAAGCAGAAUCCAAAACUCAGGGCCAUCUCUCCAUCACUCCAUCUGCAGAAAGAAAAGAUAUACCACUGGCAUCAGCAGUGCAAGAUUCCACCUCACUUGGACCACCAAUUGGUUUGACUUUCAAAGAUGCUGACCACUCGCAGCUGCCACUGACUUCAAUGGAAUUUCUGGGUGCUCGGCACUUAAUCAAAUUAAAUGUGCCUUAACCCUGACCUGGAAUGGUGAUUCUAGGAAUGGGAGACCAAAUGGAAUGAAAACCUCAACAUUCUGAUUACUGGAGCCAAUCCUAGCAGAGAGAAUAGAAUAGCUAAUCACAGCUGAAAGAUUUGCAUAGUCCCCAUAAGACAUUUCCCCACAGCAGCCUAAGAGCAGCAGUCCUGGACCUGUCGGGCUGAGCAGAAAGAAAACGUGUGGCCAUCAGUGAGGG